rnacentral:snRNA from 1 species
AGAGAAUCGCUUGAACCCAGCAGACGGAAGUUGCAUUGAGCCAAGAUCGUGUCAUAGCACUCCAGCCUGGGUGACAGAG